CCGUGCUCCAUGAGCGAAUCUUGUACCUUAUUUUCGCAACUGUGAACCCGGGCCCUGUGUGUUCUGCCUCCUCUGCCAUCUGCAUUACUGCUCGUGGGCUGGUCCGAGGGAGGUCGAACAGCUAUAUUGUAGAACCGCCAUCUUGAAGUUGGACCAUGCCCAAAGCCAGAAUAGGCACCACCUCGACUCCCUGCAAGCACCGAACCGCCAUCGUGAAGUUGGACCACUCAACAGAUCGGCAAUCACGGUUCCAAGGAUGCGCUCCUUCCGGAUCUCACCAGAACUCAUCAAGGCCCUGGAAGCAAUUGUAGACAGUGUUGCAGCAAGGAGAAACUUGGAUAGUAUUAUGUAUAGGGAAUUCAUUAGGAAGCGGAGUAAAUUAAAGGCUCAACAAGUAGUGGAUCGGAUGCUAGAUUUGGCAGCGCUGGGCUGUGUAUCCAGUUGUUGGAGGCGGUUACCCCUCCUCUACCACCUGAGCAAUAUAGUCGUGCAGUGGAACAACUGCUUGUUCCUAUUGUUUAGGAAUUCUUCUUGUUGAUGGCCCCAGAUCGCAGAGCACAAUUGGUGUUGUCGUGGGAGUGACCAGGCAUAUCCGCCCUUUGAACUUUGAUAAUUUAGUGGUUAAUUUAGGCUUAUCAUCAUAGUGAUAAGCCCAAAAUCUCGAACAAUGGUGCAAAGUUAGAUAAUUUUGGCUACUUUUUAUGAAACUAGUUUUCCAUAGUUA